UCCUCCCAGAAGCCAAGCAGACCUGCA
rnacentral:misc_RNA from 1 species